rnacentral:rRNA from 1 species
AAAUUUGCAACUAGAAGAGCUACUUUGUGGUGUAUGCGAUUAUCAAAGUACAGAGGAAAAGCAAAUAACAAGGGUUCCCUUGCUGACUAAAAAUGGAUAUGGAGUAACACCACACCGAAGUUUGUGGUUAUUUGACUUCAAGGCAGUAAAGUGUUUAGAUUUCUUCUUGGCAUCACUGUUCUGUUCCAAUUCUAGUAUUGAGUACGGCAUACGGUUCUGGCCCGAAGAGGAUGAAAGGCCUGUAGGCUGGAGACCAAGCGUGACACUUCAGCCAGGAGCUAACCUUGGAGUCAGGUUGUUCGACAAUGCAGCCUAAAGUGGGUGGUAGACCCUUUCCAAGGCGAAAUACUGAUACGAUUCUGAUAGUAAACAAGUAUCUCGAGAGCAAGUUGAAAAGUGCUUUGAAGACAGAGCAAAGGGUGCGUGAAACCGGUCAUAGGUUAAUAGGCAGUGUUGGGCUGCGAUCCCUGAGAAAUCAGCUGAUGAGCAUGAUUUGUGCUUGGAUAUAGUGUCUGUCAAAAUGUAGGUGCCUGCCUAUCGGUAAGUAUGUGUGGUGCGUCUACCAUGUGGGACACGCAUUGGAGGAUGCAUAGGUCUACUUGUUUCGUGCACUUUAGCAGGGUGUAGAUUACGGGAUUUGAAAAUUGAUGUGAAAGUCUACCCCUUCUGAAGACCAUAUGAGGCAGAGAGUUUGACUAGGUGGUACUUCCAUUAAAUGGUAACGUGGGGUUUUAUGGUGAGCUCAGCUAGGGCAGAAACCUCGUGUGGAAUGAAAAGACAAAAGCUAUUUUGAUUUUCAGUAUGAAUACAGACUUUAAAAGGGUGGCCUAUUGAUCACUUGAAAUAUUAUUUUCAGAAUUUGAAGCACCUGUCUCAGGAAAGUUACCCCAGGGAUAACUGGAUUGUGGAGACAAAGAGUGAAUAGUGACAUCGCUUUUUGAUCCUUCUGUGCUUCAAUCGUUAUGAAGCAGAAUAUCCGUAACGUUGGAUUGUUUGCUGAAGAAUAGGGGACGUGAGCUUGGGUUAAACUGUUGUGGGAUGGAUUAGUUCUACUCUACUAAUAAGUGCAUGAAUAAAUGAAAUGCAAUCUGGCCGCUGCUAUAGAAAUUUCGUCAAGUUUGAGAGGAACAGCAUGUUUAGAAAAUUGGCAUAUGUGCCUGGUUGAAAGGUCAGUGGUGCGAAGCUGCCACAUAAAGGAUUAAGAUUGAACGCCUCUACUUCUGAACCCCGUCCAUAUUU